rnacentral:rRNA from 1 species
GUCUACGGCCAUGCUACCCUGAACAAGCCCGAUCCUGUCUGAUCUCGGAAACUAAGCAGAGUCGGGCCUGGUUAGUACUUGGAUGGGAGACCACUUACGAAGACCAGGUGCUAUAGGCG